rnacentral:rRNA from 1 species
AGUGAACGCUGGCGGUAGGUCUAACACAUGCAAGUCGAACGGCAGCACAGUAAGAGCUUGCUCUUACGGGUGGCGAGUGGCGGACGGGUGAGGAAUACAUCGGAAUCUACUUUUUCGUGGGGGAUAACGUAGGGAAACUUACGCUAAUACCGCAUACGACCUACGGGUGAAAGCAGGGGAUCUUCGGACCUUGCGCGAUUGAAUGAGCCGAUGUCGGAUUAGCUAGUUGGCGGGGUAAAGGCCCACCAAGGCGACGAUCUGUAGCUGGUCUGAGAGGAUGAUCAGCCACACUGGAACUGAGACACGGUCCAGACUCCUACGGGAGGCAGCAGUGGGGAAUAUUGGACAAUGGGCGCAAGCCUGAUCCAGCCAUACCGCGUGGGUGAAGAAGGCCUUCGGGUUGUAAAGCCCUUUUGUUGGGAAAGAAAAGCAGCAGGUUAAUACCCCGCUGUUCUGACGGUACCCAAAGAAUAAGCACCGGCUAACUUCGU